rnacentral:rRNA from 1 species
AGGGGCAGCAUGGUAGGUAGCAAUACUUAUUGAUGGCGACCGGCGCACGGGUGAGUAACGCGUAUGCAACUUACCUAUCAGAGGGGGAUAGCCCGGCGAAAGUCGGAUUAAUACUCCAUAAAACAGGGGUCCCGCAUGGGACUAUUUGUUAAAGAUUCAUCGCUGAUAGAUAGGCAUGCGUUCCAUUAGGCAGUUGGCGGGGUAACGGCCCACCAAACCGACGAUGGAUAGGGGUUCUGAGAGGAAGGUCCCCCACAUUGGUACUGAGACACGGACCAAACUCCUACGGGAGGCAGCAGUGAGGAAUAUUGGUCAAUGGCCGAGAGGCUGAACCAGCCAAGUCGCGUGAAGGAUGAAGGAUCUAUGGUUUGUAAACUUCUUUUAUAGGGGAAUAAAGUGUGGGACGUGUUCCAUUUUGUAUGUACCCUAUGAAUAAGCAUCGGCUAACUCCGUGCCAGCAGCCGCGGUAAUACGGAGGAUGCGAGCGUUAUCCGGAUUUAUUGGGUUUAAAGGGUGCGUAGGUGGUAAUUUAAGUCAGCGGUGAAAGUUUGUGGCUCAACCAUAAAAUUGCCGUUGAAACUGGGUUACUUGAGUGUGUUUGAGGUAGGCGGAAUGCGUGGUGUAGCGGUGAAAUGCAUAGAUAUCACGCAGAACUCCAAUUGCGAAGGCAGCUUAC